UACAGAGGUCUCAAGCGUUGUUCGGAUUCAUUGGGCGUAAAGGGUGCGUAGGCGGCGCCGUAAGUCGGAUGUGAAAUCUCAGGGCUCAACCCUGAAACUGCAUUCGAUACUGCGGUGCUCGAGGACUCGAGAGGAGAUUGGAAUUCACGGUGUAGCAGUGAAAUGCGUAGAUAUCGUGAGGAAGACCAGUGGCGAAGGCGGAUCUCUGGAGAGUUCCUGACGCUGAGGCACGAAGGCCAGGGGGGCAAACGGG
rnacentral:rRNA from 1 species